rnacentral:rRNA from 1 species
AGGACGAACGCUGGCGGCGUGCCUAACACAUGCAAGUCGAACGCGCUCCAUUCGGUAGCAAUACUGAUGAAGAGCGAGUGGCGAACGGGUGAGUAGCACGUGAGCAACCUGCCCCGAAGACUGGGACAACACCGGGAAACCGGUGCUAAUACCGGAUAUCCCUAUCGGACCGCAUGAUCUGAUAAGGAAAUGGAUUCCGCUUCGGGAGGGGCUCGCGGCCUAUCAGCUAGUUGGUGGGGUAACGGCCCACCAAGGCAUCGACGGGUAGCUGGUCUGAGAGGACGAUCAGCCACACUGGGACUGAGACACGGCCCAGACUCCUACGGGAGGCAGCAGUGGGGAAUCUUGCGCAAUGGGCGAAAGCCUGACGCAGCAACGCCGCGUGGAGGACGAAGGCUUUCUGAGUUGUAAACUCCUUUCAGCAGGGACGAUAGUGACGGUACCUGCAGAAGAAGCACCGGCAACUACGCGCCAGCAGCCGCGUAAC